rnacentral:rRNA from 1 species
UACAGGGGGUGCAAACGUUGCUCGGAAUCAUUGGGCGUAAAGCGUACGUAGGCGGUUCGUUAUGUCGGAUGUGAAAGCCCUUGGCUUAACCGAGGAAGUGCAUCCGAAACUGGCGAGCUAGAGUACUAAAGAGGAUCGCGGAAUUCCCGGUGUAGAGGUGAAAUUCGUAGAUAUCGGGAGGAACACCGGUGGCGAAGGCGGCGAUCUGGGUAGAUACUGACGCUGAGGUGCGAAAGCGUGGGGAGCAAACAGG